rnacentral:rRNA from 1 species
AACGGACGCUGGCGGCAGGCCUAACACAUGCAAGUCGAGCGCGCCCUUCGGGGUGAGCGGCGGACGGGUGAGUAACGCGUGGGAACGUGCCCUUUUCUACGGAAUAGCCUCGGGAAACUGAGAGUAAUACCGUAUACGCCCUUUGGGGGAAAGAUUUAUCGGAAAAGGAUCGGCCCGCGUUGGAUUAGGUAGUUGGUGGGGUAAUGGCCUACCAAGCCGACGAUCCAUAGCUGGUUUGAGAGGAUGAUCAGCCACACUGGGACUGAGACACGGCCCAGACUCCUACGGGAGGCAGCAGUGGGGAAUCUUAGACAAUGGGGGCAACCCUGAUCUAGCCAUGCCGCGUGAGUGAUGAAGGCCUUAGGGUUGUAAAGCUCUUUCAGCUGGGAAGAUAAUGACGGUACCAGCAGAAGAAGCCCCGGCUAACUCCGUG